AGUUAGUCCAUGAAGAUCUGGGAACCAGCUUUCCAGGCAGGAAUAGCUACGGCAAAGAUCCUAAGGAGUCCAAGGUUGAGGUCACAUCUUAUGAUGGCCUUCUUGCUGACAGAAACCUGAGGUGGUGCAGGACAUCGCAUGCCAAGAGACAGGGAGUAUGCACUGCUAAAUUGGACUCUACUUUGUGGACAUACCAUAUUUGCAUCCUCUUUGUUGCCAGUUGAGGGAGUCCUGGUUGGUAUAUUAGCUGUAGUGAGGAUGACAGUCUUUCUUCAGUCUCCCUGAGGUAGAACCUCUCUGUGUUCUACUGUUCCUAGAACGGGGAAGGCAAAGGCAAGCCAAGCCCAAGGAAGCCCUACUGGUUGACCAAAGCUAGUCAAGCCCUUUUUGCCAAGACAUGCUCCUGCGCCCACUGCUCUGCUGGCUGCCUAAAGGAAAGCACAGGACACAGGUACAGCAUUAGAGAAGGGCAGAAGCUGCCCUUGACUAUGUAUGGAAAAUGCCAAAGACCUGCUCAUGCAAGGGAGAAGGCUAAAUUGUCUACUUGCAACGAGGGAAGCAUGGGUUUUAAGGCUUCUGCAAUAUGUAUUUCUUCUUGGCCAACAUUUAGAGAUGAACUUACUUAUUCACUGAGGAGUGUGGCUGCCUUUGAGAACAGAGUAGGAAAAGCAAGUGAGAGAGAGAAAAAAACAGUACUUGUGCAAUGGAAAGACUUGGCAAACAUUACCCUAUUCAAAGUUGACAUUAGCGGUGACAAGGAGGAUUGGUGGAC
rnacentral:lncRNA from 1 species